CUCUGGUGGCGAGUGGCGAACGGGUGAGUAAUAUAUCGGAACGUGUCCAAUAAUGGGGGAUAACUAGUCGAAAGAUUAGCUAAUACCGCAUACGCCCUGAGGGGGAAAGUGGGGGAUCUUCGGACCUCACGUUAAUGGAGCGGCCGAUAUCUGAUUAGCUAGUUGGUAGGGUAAAAGCCUACCAAGGCGACGAUCAGUAGCUGGUCUGAGAGGAUGAUCAGCCACACUGGGACUGAGACACGGCCCAGACUCCUACGGGAGGCAGCAGUGGGGAAUUUUGGACAAUGGGCGCAAGCCUGAUCCAGCCAUGCCGCGUGAGUGAAGAAGGCCUUCGGGUUGUAAAGCUCUUUCGCAAGGAAAGAAAACUUACAUGUAAAUAAUGUGUGAGGUUGACGGUACCUUGAUAAGAAGCACCGGCUAACUACGUGCCAGCAGCCGCGGUAAUACGUAGGGUGCAAGCGUUAAUCGGAAUUACUGGGCGUAAAGCGAGCGCAGGCGGUUUUGUAAGUCAGAUGUGAAAGCCCCGGGCUCAACCUGGGAACUGCGUUUGAAACUACAAGGCUAGAGUAUGGGAGAGGGGGGUAGAAUUCCACGUGUAGCAGUGAAAUGCGUAGAGAUGUGGAGGAAUACCAAUGGCGAAGGCAGCCCCC
rnacentral:rRNA from 1 species